CUCUCUCUCUCUCUCUCUCUCUCUCUCUCUCUCUCUCUCAAGUUACUCGUAUAUGUUACUUAGUUACAUAGUUUCUCUUUGUUUAAAUUAAAAUUUUAUAAAUGUAAAAUAAUUUGUUUUUUCUUUUCUUUGUAUGUGUUAUGUUAUCUUACUCAACAAAUAUUGCUUACAAUAAAUAAAAGUAACAAUAUUCUAAUUUUUAUAUAGAUGAUAAAAAUGACAAUGAACAGUACAAGAAUUUUAAUAUAAUACACUCCGAAACUUUAAAAGAAAAGAGUGAAGAUGACGUUUUAAAAGUAGAAAGGACCAUACUAUCUACGAACAACGAGAAUGAAGUAUUUCCAAAAUCACCACUAUUUCAAGGACCGGUUGUAUCUAAUCUUGAUAGAGAUUUGCUUCGAAAUGUGUCAAGUAAACUUGAUAUAGUAUUAAUGAACCAACGUCGCAUUUUAAAUGAAAUAUUUCCUGGUGAAGCUAUUUUAGACAGACCCGAAAAUUGUCCCCCUCUUUCAUUACGAGAUAAAAAGUCUUUUGAGGAAUUCAACGAAUUUUUGGAAAAUAAAGUUGCAUUUUCUCAAUUUGUAAGUACAGUUGAUUUUUCAAUUUUUAUUUAUAUUUUGUGUGGUGUACUUACAUAUAUGAUUUAUAUUUAACUUUUAAUAUAUGUGAACUCUUCUUACAUAAUUUUUAAUUCUUGUGUUUUUAAGGUUAGCUAUCUUAAUGCACUUAUUAAUGAUUGUGAUCAGUGGAAUGCUGUUACUCGUCUUAUGUCUAACAUAUUGCACAAUGAACUUGCAAGACAAGUUAGUUGGAAAGGAACCAGAGGAGUGAAAAUUUCUUUUUACGGAACAAGAAUUAAGGAAGCUUUGUUUUGUAAAUGUUUUACGUUUAUCUUUUCUUUUACUUAUUUGAAAUAUUGAGACACUGAUUAUAAAUUAUUAUAUUAAAUUAUAAGAAGCAAGAAAUAAUUUAAAAUUACAUUUUCCAUUUCUUUGUUUGGCAAAUUUUUAAAUAAAUUAAUUUUGAUGAUGUACUAUUAUUUGUUUAUAAUAGAAAGAAUAUUUUAGUAAAACGUAUUAAAACUUGUUUCUGUAUUCGUAUAAUAUAUGAUUACAAAUUGUGAUCAGUAUACGAUUUAUUUUCAUUAAAUAUGUAUAACAUUUAAUUAUUUUAACAAAUUAUUGUAUUUUAUAUAAUAUUUAAUUAUUGUAUAUAACAUUGAAUACAAAUUUUGUGUGUGCAUCUGUACAGAUUUCUUUACUAAGAAAAUAGAAAAAUAAAUUAUCUUUGCUACAUUUUACUAACGUG